AACGAACGCAGGCGGCAGGCCUAACACAUGCAAGUCGAGCGAAGCCUUCGGGCUUAGCGGCGGACGGGUGAGUAACGCGUGGGAACGUGCCCCUUGGUACGGAAUAGCCCCGGGAAACUGGGAGUAAUACCGUAUGUGGUCGAGAGACGAAAGAUUUAUCGCCAAAGGAUCGGCCCGCGUUGGAUUAGGUAGUUGGUGGGGUAAUGGCCUACCAAGCCGACGAUCCAUAGCUGGUUUGAGAGGAUGAUCAGCCACACUGGGACUGAGACACGGCCCAGACUCCUACGGGAGGCAGCAGUGGGGAAUCUUAGACAAUGGGGGAAACCCUGAUCUAGCCAUGCCGCGUGAUCGAUGAAGGCCUUAGGGUUGUAAAGAUCUUUCAGUGGGGAAGAUAAUGACUGUACCCACAGAAGAAGCACCGGCUAACUCCGUGCCAGCCGCCGCCGUAAAAC
rnacentral:rRNA from 1 species